rnacentral:rRNA from 1 species
GAUGAACGCUGGCGGCGUGCUUAACACAUGCAAGUCGAGCGAUGAAGUUUCCUUCGGGAAACGGAUUAGCGGCGGACGGGUGAGUAACACGUGGGUAACCUGCCUCAUAGAGUGGAAUAGCCUUCCGAAAGGAAGAUUAAUACCGCAUAAUGUUGAAAGAUGGCAUCAUCAUUCAACCAAAGGAGCAAUCCGCUAUGAGAUGGACCCGCGGCGCAUUAGCUAGUUGGUGGGGUAACGGCCUACCAAGGCGACGAUGCGUAGCCGACCUGAGAGGGUGAUCGGCCACAUUGGGACUGAGACACGGCCCAGACUCCUACGGGAGGCAGCAGUGGGGAAUAUUGCACAAUGGGGGAAACCCKGAUGCAGCAACGCCGCGUGAGUGAUGAAGGUUUUCGGAUCGUAAAGCUCUGUCUUUGGGGAAGAUAAUGACGGUACCCAAGAWG